UACAGAGGGUGCAAGCGUUUAAUCGGAUUUACUGGGCGUAAAGCGCGCGUAGGCGGCUAAUUAAGUCAAAUGUGAAAUCCCCGAGCUUAACUUGGGAAUUGCAUUCGAUACUGGUUAGCUAGAGUGUGGGAGAGGAUGGUAGAAUUCCAGGUGUAGCGGUGAAAUGCGUAGAGAUCUGGAGGAAUACCGAUGGCGAAGGCAGCCAUCUGGCCUAACACUGACGCUGAGGUGCGAAAGCAUGGGGAGCAAACAGG
rnacentral:rRNA from 1 species